UCGGCGAGGAACAUUUUUCCGUUUUCAAGAAACGGAACUAUUUUUUGUCUUGCGAAAACGGGAGAAUUUGCAGUACUGCCGCACCGAGAAGCGCGGUAAGAUCUAUGUGCGAUUCACCAACACAAAAAGGUCAAUUUUCCUCCCCAGGAGGCUAAACGAAGGAGUGAGAACCGUGACCCACGUCUGCGUCAACACAAAUUUUGCGAUGACCAAGAAGGCGGUGAAAAACGCGAGUUCUAUAUAAUAGCGUUGGUGAUGGCAGUUCGGAAGUUAACAAAGAUUUGGACGAGUCUUCCACUAGCAGUUCUAAUGAAGCGAAGAAGCAACAAAGAAAGAGGCAAAUAAAGCGAUAAUGCAGCUCCAAAAAGGAACAGCCGCCAUCGUAAAGGCGGUUGAAACUUGCGAUAACGGGAGAAUUUGCAGUACUGCCGCACCGAGAAGCGCGGUAAAAUCUAUGUGCGAUUCACCAACACAAAAAGGUCAUUUCUCCUCCCCAGGCGGUGAAAAACGCGAGUUCUACAGAAUAGCGUUAUAAAAUAGCAUUUCGAGAGUAUAAAAUAUAUGAAACUUUUAAGGUUAGAAAAAAAAAAUGAAUGCAGUCAGCGGCGAGAGCAGAAGAAUCACAGUCAGAUCCGGCUUUUUUUAAGACAAACUGCGAACAAAAUUUGUGAAUUGGGGGAGGCGGUUGAAACUUGCGAUAACGGGAGAAUUUGCAGUACUGCCGCACCGAGAAGCGCGGUAAAAUCUAUGUGCGAUUCAAUACAAAAAGGUCAAUUUUCCUCCCCAGGAGGCUAAACGAAGGAGUGAGAACCGUGACCCACGUCUGCGUCAACACCCCCAAAUUUUGCGAUGACCAAGAAGGCGGUGAAAAACGCGAGUUCUACAGAAUAGCGUUAUAAAAUAGCAUUUCGAGAGUAUAAAAUAUAUGAAACUUUUAAGGUUAGAAAAAAAAAAUGAAUGCAGUCAGCGGCGAGAGCAGAAGAAUCACAGUCAGAUCCGGCUUUUUUUAAGACAAACUGCGAACAAAAUUUGUGAAUUGGGGGAGGCGGUUGAAACUUGCGAUAACGGGAGAAUUUGCAGUACUGCCGCACCGAGAAGCGCGGUAAAAUCUAUGUGCGAUUCAAUACAAAAAGGUCAAUUUUCCUCCCCAGGAGGCUAAACGAAGGAGUGAGAACCGUGACCCACGUCUGCGUCAACACCCCCAAAUUUUGCGAUGACCAAGAAGGCGGUGAAAAACGCGAGUUCUACAGAAUAGCGUUAUAAAAUAGCAUUUCGAGAGUAUAAAAUAUAUGAAACUUUUAAGGUUAGAAAAAAAAAAUGAAUGCAGUCAGCGGCGAGAGCAGAAGAAUCACAGUCAGAUCCGGCUUUUUUUAAGUCAAACUGCGACAAAAAUUUGUGAAUUGGGGGAGGCGGUUGAAACUUGCGAUAACGGGAGAAUUUGCAGUACUGCCGCACCGAGAAGCGCGGUAAAAUCUAUGUGCGAUUCAAUACAAAAAGGUAAAUUUUCCUCCCCAGGAGGCUAAACGAAGGAGUGAGAACCGUGACCCACGUCUGCGUCAACACCCCCAAAUUUUGCGAUGACCAAGAAGGCGGUGAAAAACGCGAGUUCUACAGGUGAUGGCCGUGCGGAAGUUAUCACAGAUGCGGACGAGUCUUCCACUAGCAGUUCUAAUGAAGCGAAGAAGCAACAAAGAAAGAGGCAAAUAAAGCGAUAAUGCAGCUCCAAAAAGGAACAGCCGCCAUCGUAAAUCUCGAUAAAGUAAACAGUUGCGAGGCAACCACCGCAACAAGCACCGAACCAGCCGACAACCGUCCUUCGUCAUUGUGCUGCACCACAAAAAGUUGCGGUGGUUCCCCUAUUCAACUACAACCAAUGU